rnacentral:rRNA from 1 species
CAGUCGCCGCGGUAAUACGAAGGGGGCUAGCGUUGCUCGGAAUCACUGGGCGUAAAGGGUGCGUAGGCGGGUCUUUAAGUCAGGGGUGAAAUCCUGGAGCUCAACUCCAGAACUGCCUUUGAUACUGAAGAUCUUGAGUUCGGGAGAGGUGAGUGGAACUGCGAGUGUAGAGGUGAAAUUCGUAGAUAUUCGCAAGAACACCAGUGGCGAAGGCGGCUCACUGGCCCGAUACUGACGCUGAGGCACGAAAGCGUGGGGAGCAAACAGGAUUAGAACCCCCGUAGUCCCUGUCUCUUAUACA